rnacentral:lncRNA from 1 species
UUUUUUUUUUUUUUUUUUUUUUUUUUGGCUUUUUGCCAUUUCUUGGGCCACUCCCGCGGCAUAUGGAGGUUCCCAGGCUAGGGGUCUAAUCGGAGCUGUAGCCCCCAGCCUACACCAGAGCCACAGCAACGCGAGGUCCGAGCCGCGUCUGCAACCUACACCACAGAUUAGGGCAACGCCGGAUUGUUAACCCACUGAGCAAGGCCAGGGAUCGAACCCGCAACCUCGUGGUUCCUAGUCGGAUUCGUUAACCACUGCGCCACGACAGAAACUCCUAAAUGCAUUUUCAACAUGAUAUUUUCAACUUACUAUAGUUUAUUAUAGUUUAUCGGGACAUAACCUCAUAUAAGACAAGGAAGAUCUAUAUUUUUUGUGAUUGUUGUUAUAGAAUAUCACCAUUUUAAAUUUGUUUUUCUUCCUGUACCAGGAGAUCAAGAAAACAUAUUAAUUCAGAGAAGUUUCUUUGGUUUGGGGAGAAAUCACUCCAUUGGUUCUGGCAUAUAAAAAUUAGAAUCCCUGUUCUAGAAAAAGAUUAUAAUACAACAGUGUUUUGGCUUAACAGCGGGGGACACAUCUUUUACCAAACGGUAUGCAAGACUUUAAAAUUAUUGAAAACAUAGUAAGCAUAAUUGCAAAAGGGACGCAGAGAAAUAUUGGGGAAAAAGAAAGAAUAGAAAAAAAAAGAAAAUUAAUUGUUUUGGGAAGUUAGGGUUAUUAGAAUAUUUCUGGUGGAUUGAAAGUGCUCCUGAAAAAGGCUAUCUGGAAGAAACUGAAAUUAAAAAAAAAAAAAAAAAAAUCCUCAAAAGACAAUUCCACGGAAUAAGUAUAGAGCCUAGAUUUGCAACCAUCAAAAAGUACAUUUUUAUGAGGCCAGAUAUGGGCAAGUACACGGCUAAAUCUACACAAGUUUACUGACAUGGCCAGCAUAAGAUUGUGAAUUUGCUGAUAGAAAAGACGGUAUGUGACUCCAAAUAAAAAGCCCAGAGCUUCUAAACUCAGGCUUGCCUUGACUGGAAUGAGCCAGAGGACAGGCUGUCUCUUCCUUUACUGCCCACAGUUAAAACAUAAGACCUUUCCUUCAUGGUGGCAAUGGUGUCCUCAUUAAAGCAAUGCACUGAACAGAACUGGAUCAUGUUUGUUUGUUGACAGAUGCGGGUCCUCCAGUGUUUCCUCUGUAAUGAAUGCUUGGCACCAAGACCAACACUUUGGACAAACAAGUUUUCAGAUAAAAGUACUGUAUCUUAGAGCUCAGAUGAGGCGUCCUCAGCACUGGGAGGUUUGCCAUGAUAAUGAGGAAGAGGCAAGGUGUGACUUACCAUACACAUAUAGCUAAUUCUCAGGCUAUUUCCACUGGCUUCUCACUCCAGCGGCAAUUAUGGUGACAGUAAUGAGUACAAAAUCACCUUGGUUUGGCCAGAUAACUGCUGUUUACAUCAUUUAGGGAACAUACCAGGGUGCUGGCUUAUCCUGUAGCCACUAACUCAGGCAGUGCUUGUAGCAUCUUUGAGCUCCAUUCAUGAGGCUGAGUGAUGAGGCUAUAAUGAUGUCAGUAAACAUCCUGGAGAUGUGAGUUAUUACAGAUGUGCUGACCCACUGGAGAAGAGAAGAAUAAACGAGGGUUAAAUUAGUUUCAAUUUAAUAACAAUAAUAAACAAUCAUUGUGAUCUAGAGAAU